rnacentral:lncRNA from 1 species
UGGCUUCCCAACCAUAGUAGCUACAUAAAUUGAGUGUUGAAUCUCAUCCUCUAUUAGCAUAGCAUAUGCUUGGUUUAUGGUAGGAGCAGUCCCUUUCAGCAAAAUCUUCCUUUGAGCUUGGUCAUAGGAUUCAUUCAAACCACUAAGAAAUUGGAUCAACCUCAUUUCUGAUAAAUGAUCCAUAUAAUCCUUUGAUCUAGGACAAUUACAGCUAGGUGAAGGUAUAACAGCAUCAUAUUCAUUCCAUAAGGUUUUCAAUUUUGUGAA